UGAAUAAAUGAGCCUGCUAACAGAUUGAACAGUGGAACCGCUUUUCCCUGUGUGUCCCAAGAACCACCCGGACCCUACUCUAUUCCUGGGGAUUCAUCUUUCCCACCAGAGCACCGCCAGAUAGAUAGAUAGAUAAAGAGAGAAAGAGAGAG